rnacentral:lncRNA from 1 species
AACAAAACAUGUAAUAGUAAUCAUAGAAAUGUUUAAAAGCAAAAUUAAUGUGAUAUUAAUAAAAUACUUAUACAGAAAUUGAAAAUUCAUACAUAAAGAUAUGGAUUCAUCAUAUGUAUAUUCCCUCAUCAUGAUCUGACCGAACUGCAUGUACAUCGUCGUCAACUAGAGAUUGGUCAUCCAAAUUUGUUGUAGUUUGAAAUGAAUGGUUGUCAGCAAUAUGAAUAUUAAUCAAAUUGUCUUUGUUAACUUCAAUCUGUUUUUUGCUUUGAAGAGCAACAUACCAAUGGUCAGACGCAGGAUCUUUGACAUAAAAAACCUGCGAUGCUUGAUGUACCAUGAUAAACGGUUCGUCUCGGUAACCCACCUUUCGAAAAUCAACCAGUGUCAUACCCGAUUAAUCUAGUUUCACACCACUCUUAUUGUCAAACCACUUACAUUUGAACAAUGGAACAAAAAACUUGGUGUAAUCAACCUCCCAUAUCUCUUCUAUUAUACCAUAAUAUCUCAUUGAUCCAAGUN